rnacentral:rRNA from 1 species
UACGAAGGGUGCAAGCGUUGUUCGGAAUCACUGGGCGUAAAGAAUGCGUAGGCGGCUUAACAAGUCAGGAGUGAAAUCCCAGGGCUCAACCCUGGAACUGCUCUUGAAACUGUUUUGCUAGAGUCCCGGAGGGGUUAGCGGAAUUCCGAGUGUAGAGGUGAAAUUCGCAGAUAUUCGGAGGAACACCAGUGGCGAAGGCGGCUAACUGGACGGGAACUGACGCUGAGGCAUGAAAGUGUGGGGAUCAAACAGG